rnacentral:tRNA from 1 species
GAGGUUGUGGCUCAGUGGUACAGCACUCUCCUGGCAUGGGUGAGGCACUGGGUUCAAACCUCAGCACCACA